GUCAGCCGGCGAGGGGAAAAGACCGGGCUGAGGGAGAUCAGUCUCAUUUAGUUGUAUCGAAAACGGGACAUGUACAACUCAGCUCAGCUCGUCCUCGGUCCCAGAUGGAUUUGUGAGGAGAGGAGCCUAUAUACCAUUGCCUUCGGCGGUUCCACGGUGCGUUAAUGGAAUGCACGAGGAGGGCAGUUUGAGGCUUUCGAAUUGCCCCAUUCUAGCUUUGCAGAAUCUCUUUUUUGUCUUUACUUGACCUGCGAGUAGACUGGUGCUAUGCUUUCUCUUGUAAAGUACCGUCCAAUUUUUCCAAGCAGAAAGCGACCUUUAUGGAUCUCUAUUCGAUUAGUUUUUGAAUGUGUUUGAUGGAGGAAUACGACGUGGUUGAAGUCUACUCCUGACACUUUUUUUGCAAAAACAGACAUCCUUUGAAAAAGAUCAAAUGGCCCGUCCCCCUUUUUGCCUCCAGAGACGGAUUCGGACUAACCAUCAGUUUGAAUCUAGCCCCCAAAACAGUGCUAGAGACGACUUUAACCCAUUGCGCACGGGUGUCACCAAGCUCAAUGGCCGCCGUACUUCAAUUUUUAAUAUUUUUUUUCUAUCAAAUUACAUUAAAUUGUCAUGGUGGUGUAAUGUAUAUAGCCUACAUUUAUCAGCAGCUAUGUAACCUUCCAUUCCAGAAUGCCACUCCAACUUCAAAGCACACUGACAUCGCCACAUAACUAUUCGCACUGAAGGUCUGAAGGAACGGGUGGUUAGUCUAUAUUGAACAAGGAAUAUUAGGGGCGGAAAUGGCAAAUAAGGAAUGUUAUGGGUGGAUAUGGCAAAAUGUAGCACACACACACUGAGUCUUCUGAGGUUCUAGUUCUCCGUGUUCACAGCGGACCUUGAUUUAAUGUCUUACAAUUAAGGCACGCGGUGAAUGCCAAGAGCGGAGCCUGCUGUCAUCUACGCGAGCGCACGAGCGCACACAGCUUUCACUAAAAGGACAUACUAAAGCGAUAACGGAAAAGGUUUGUGUCUGCAAUUGUUGUCUGCAAAUUCCCCUGUAGUCUAUGUUGUAUCGUUUUCUUUUUUUCAGAGUAAAUAAAGCACCCAAUACUACCA